CCAAUAGCGUAUAUUAAAGUUGUUGCAGUUAAAAAGCUCGUAGUUGAACUUCGGGGUCUACCCAUUGGUCAGGCUUAAUUGUCUGCACUGGUGAGAUGGAUCUCUACCUUCUGAGGAACUUUCAUGCCAUUUAUUUGGUGUGAUUGGAAAUCAGGACUGUUACUUUGAAAAAAUUAGAGUGUUUAAAGCAGACUAUCGUCUGAAUACAUUAGCAUGGAAUAAUGAAAUAGGACGGACUGAUUCUAUUUCGUUGGUUUCUAGGAUCACCGUAAUGAUUAAUAGGGAUAGUUGGGGGAAUUAGUAUUCAAUUGUCAGAGGUGAAAUUCUUGGAUUUAUUGAAGACUAACUACUGCGAAAGCAUUUGCCGAGGAUGUUUUCAUUAAUCAAGAACGAAAGUUAGGGGAUCGAAGACGAGCAGAUACCGUCGUAGUCUUAACCAUAAACUAUGCCGACUAGGGAUCGGACGAAGUUAAUUUUAUAAUGACGCGUUCGGCACCUUACG
rnacentral:rRNA from 1 species